UUUCUGGGUGUUUCGUCUAUUUCCACCCUUUCUGGGCUUUUUCACUGCUUAGUCGUCUUUUAUGUAGUAAUUUAUAAUAGUAAACUACGCUUACUCUAUUAGCCAAGCGCUCAAUUGUCUAAUUCUGGCCAGUAAUUAGACAAUUAAAGCACGUUGGGCGCCAUGUUUUAUGGUGUCUCCUUUAUCUAUACACCUUUUACCUAUUUCUUUAUUAUUCUCAGGUAGGUAAGGAAAGUCGACCCUGGACAAAACUAUAAGCAUUUAAAAAAUACUUACAUCUUGCUCAGUAGACUUCCCUGUGGUCAGUUCUUGCUUACGGCUCUUAAAUUACUACUCUUGCAGACCAUAACUUGUCAAUAAUAAAAUACAAGUUUUAUUAAAAUUAACAAAAGUUAUAUCAAAGUACAAUAGUAAAGUUACAAAAUCAAGGUAUAAUCAGCUGGUAUCAGGCGUCGAGGGAUACUGUGCUUGUUCAGUAUCCGUCGGUCGAGUCUCUCUCUCAGUCUUUUAUACACAGACGUCGAACGCUGGUUCUUCUGAUGUCAUCACCUGGAGUGCAGCCAACUCCUCUGCCGAGGCUUUCAGUUGUUUAUGUCGCAUUGCUUUAGCCCUUUUCCUCUUCUUUUUCCUCUUUAACAGUCGGUGAAAUACACCUUAAAUACUAUAUUGUCCAUUUAUCAUAAACACUAUUUCUAAUACAUAAGUGUUUCUACUCUAAAUCAGUCACUACAUACAUUUCAUGCAAGUAAGCAGUUUUCUUAAUGUUAGUGAAGUUACACAAUACAUUUUCCAUAUAGCAUUAAUCACAGGGUUACAUCUUUGUACUUAAGCAAAAGCAUUAUUACUACUUAGGUUACAGUACAUCUGUAUAGCAUAAUAUAACUUUAUAGCAAAUUAAGCAUUAAUCAAGACAGUACAAUUGCAAAAUCAUCAUCUCCAUUAACAACUGUAAAAAAUAAUUCAGUGGCUUAGUAAAUUUCACAAAAAUAAAGAGCUAUAUUAACUUAAUAAAAUCUUUUGAAAUCAUUUAAGUGAUAUUUUGAGUGGGUCAGAUUAAAAAUAAUAAUUAAAAAUCCAACAAAUAAUUUCUCUAAAAUUUACAUAUAUUAUUUAAGUUUAUGUAAUGAAAAUAAAUAAGUAUUUAACUAACUAAUUAUUUUUUUAAUAUACCUUCAAUAUUUCUGGUGAAUUCUAAUAGAAAUAUUUGAUAAUUAUUUACUUGUACUGAUCUGUUUUAGAAACUAAAAUUAUUAAGUAUUUCCUACCAAUUUUCCUAAAUAAAGUUCCAGCUUAAUAAAUGACAGUUAAAUAAAUUGAGUAAAUUUCGCGGCUAAAGUGAUCACGUGUGCAGCUCCGCUCCGCAGGAAAAAAAAAAAAUCUGCUUUCCUCAGCAGCGACGUCGACUAGCCAUACACCUCACAACUCCUGGUAAGUAACGUUAGUCAGCUAAUCCUACUUACGUUUGUAACACUUUAUUAAAAAGUUAAUAAUUAUUAAGCAUUUCCUAACAAUUGUCUUUGUAUUUUACGUCAUAUUCAACAAGUUUCGUAGCUUAAUCGAAGUCACCUGAAGGACGGCUUUCCUCAGCAACGGCAAGACCCGCACUCCUCUCAUAUCAUGAAGUUUAACAAGUUUCGCGGCUCAAACAAGAGGCACCUGUCACUGAAGGACUGCUUUUCUCAGCAACGACGUGAACAUUACUCGAAUUUCCUGGUUCAGCUGAUCUACCCGUCUUCGUACAAGCAGAGUUGGCAGAGGAGGUCAUAAAAAUCUACAUCCUUCGGAACAAUGAUGGGGCAGUCAGCGAUGUAAUCUUGGGAAUCACCGCAGAGCCUGCUGCCAUCUUUUGGGAGUCACAUUGGAUUUGAGAUAUCCCAAGACCCACAAAUACAGGUCCUUCUCCAAAAAUUAGCAUAUUGUGAUAAAGUUCAUUAUUUUCCAUAAUGUAAUGAUAAAAAUUAAACUUUCAUAUAUUUUAGAUUCAUUGCACACCAACUGAAAUAUUUCAGGUCUUUUAUUGUUUAAAUACUGAUGCUUUUGGCAUACAGCUCAUGAAAACCCCAAAUUCCUAUCUCAAAAAAUUAGCUUAUUUCAUCUGACCAAUAAAAGAAAAGUGUUUUUAAUACAAAAAAAAAGUCAACCUUCAAAUAAUUAUGUUCAGUUAUGCACUCAAUACUUGGUCGGGAAUCCUUUUGCAGAAAUGACUGCUUCAAUGCGGCGUGGCAUGGAGGCCAUCAGCCUGUGGCACUGCUGAGGUGUUAUGGAGGCCCAGGAUGCUUCGAUAGCGGCCUUAAGCUUAUCCAGAGUGUUGGGUCUUGCGUCUCUCAACUUUCUCUUCACAAUAUCCCACAGAUUCUCUAUGGGGUUCAAGUCAGCAGAGUUGGCAGGCCACUUGAGCACAGUAAUACCAUGGUCAGUAAACCAUUUACCAGUGGUUUUGGCACUGUGAGCAGGUGCCAGGUCGUGCUGAAAAACGAAAUCUUCAUCUCCAUAAAGCUUAUCAGCAGAUGGAAGCAUGAAGUGCUCCAAAAUCUACUGAUAACUAGCUACAUUGACCCUGCCCUUGAUAAAACACAGUGGACCAACACCAGCAGCUGACAUGGCACCCCAGACCAUCACUGACUGUGGCUACUUGACACUGGACUUCAGGCAUUUUGGCAUUUCCUUCUCCCCAGUCUUCCUCCAGACUCUGGCACCUUGAUUUCCAAAUGAUAUGCAAUAUUUGCUUUCAUCCGAAAAAAGUACUUUGGACCACUGAGCAACAGUCCAGUGCUGCUUCUCUGUAGCCCAUUUCCUGCACACACCUGUGCACGGUGGCUCUGGAUGUUUCUACUUCAGACUCAGUCCACUGCUUCUGCAGGUCCCCCAAGGUCUGGAAUCGGUCCUUCUCCACAAUCUUCCUCAGGGUCUGGUCACCUCUUCUCGUUGUGCAGCGUUUUUUGCCACACUUUUUCCUUCCCACAGACUUCCCACUGAGGUGCCUUGAUACAGCACUCUGGGAACAGCCUAUUCGUUCAGAAAUGUCUUUCUGUGUCUUACCCUCUCGCUUGAGGGUGUCAAUGAUGGCCUUCUGGACAGCAGUCAGGUCGGCAGUCUUACCCAUGAUUGCGGUUUUGAGUAAUGAACCAGGCUGGGAGUUUUUAAAAGCCUCAGGAAUCUUUUGCAGGUGUUUAGAGUUAAUUAGUUGAUUCAGAUGAUUAGGUUAAUAGCUCGUUUAGAGAACCUUUUCAUGAUAUGCUAAUUUUUUGAGAUAGGAAU